ACUCAAAAAUGAAUAAACUUCUUUCUUCUUGCUCUGAUUGGUCGAAGUUAAUUUGCCGAAAAUUUUAAAUGUCAGGGCGAAUCAAAUUUUCUUCACCCUGUUUACAAAUGUUGACGUAUCAAGUUCCCAAAACAGAUGCUUUGUUGUAGCAAUUCGCCGAUGCGGCCACCUUAUAAAUACGCCUUGCGUAAAAUCAUAUCCCAAUUACGUAACCGUCAGUUUAAGGGUUAGGAAAAAGCUUCCAUAUACGUUUAUGAAUCGCAAGGAUUUGCUCGAUACAUUGCAAUAGAAUAAUGCAAUUUUUUAAUUUGAAUUGCUACUAGCUCAGACACAACAACAAGGCCUAAAUGUCUGCGAAAGUUUUUUGUUUUAGGCAAUUUGGAGAUGAUUUCAAUUGAUUUGUAAGUUUUUACUUACAUCAAGUAUUCUUUACAAUAACCCAAUCUAUUUAUUGUACAAAAUGCGAAAAUUAAGAUUUUGAUUCAUAUAUGUUAUUAGAAUCUUUAGAAA